rnacentral:rRNA from 3 species
UACGAAGGUGGCAAGCGUUGUUCGGAUUCACUGGGCGUACAGGGUGUGUAGGCGGUUUGGUAAGCCUUCUGUUAAAGCUUCGGGCCCAACCCGGAAAGCGCAGAGGGUACUGCCAGGCUAGAGGACGGGAGAGGAGCGCGGAAUUCCCGGUGUAGCGGUGAAAUGCGUAGAGAUCGGGAGGAAGGCCGGUGGCGAAGGCGGCGCUCUGGAACGUUACUGACGCUGAGACACGAAAGCGUGGGGAGCAAACAGG